rnacentral:misc_RNA from 1 species
GAUGAAGAACGUAGCGAAAUGCGAUAAGUAAUGUGAAUUGCAGAAUUCAGUGAAUCAUCGAGUCUUUGAACGCACAUUGCGCCCCCUGGUAUUCCGGGGGGCAUGCCUGUCCGAGCGUCAUUGCUGCCCUCAAGCACGGCUUGUGUGUUGGGCCCCCGUCCCCGGUUUCCCCCGGGGACGGGCCCGAAAGGCAGCGGCGGCACCGCGUCCGGUCCUCGAGCGUAUGGGGCUUUGUCACCCGCUCGAUUAGGGCCGGCCGGGCGCCAGCCGGCGUCUCCAACCUUCUAUUUUACCAGGUUGACCUCGGAUCAGGUAGGGAUACCCGCUGAACUUAAGCAUAUCAAUAAGCGGAGGA